rnacentral:lncRNA from 1 species
ACGGAACGGAGAACGGGGAGAGAGAAAGAGAGGAGAGAGAGGAGAGCAGAGCGUCAGAAGGUGCAGAGAGGUGGGCCAGGGAGAGAGGAGAGAGAGAAGCUCCCGCGCGCUGGUUCGAAACGGAGAAGUGGACGACGUGGACUGACAAACGGACACGUGUCGCACAAUGAAUGGUUCAGAGCACGAAUGACGUGGCACUGUUAGGGUACCCAAUAUUUUCU